CAAACACCGUGAGGAUCGGCCAGGGGAUAAUAGAGCGGUUGAAGUGACCCGUGAGGCCACAGAAAGCAGCAGACGGCCGAAGGUGGAGUGAGGAGAACCAGAAAGGAGGACGGCGAGGAGGCAGAGCGAGCGGUCCAAAGUCGAGCUGCUUCUCGGCGGUGGAGAGGGCGGGUUCUAUUCACUGCAUCCCGCAAUUUAAACAUCUAGGGUGUUACAUCGCCGAGCAGUUCUGGUUUCCUGUAAUCCGGCCGAUGAGUGCGACCAAUGGCUCUGCUGUCGAAAACCCAGCUGGAUUGACGACAUCCUCAGCCUUGGCUCCACGCAUGCAUGUCCAGGUUCCUAUUUUGCGUCAAUUUUGCUUUCGCCAAUACCUUGAUCAGCAUCCAUUUAAAUAGCGUGUGUUGUUUUCAAUCAGUCAGCUUCCUGAUCUCGUGACUACUACUUCUACAGGAUGUUUCAUUUUCAUCCGGCCAUAAUCUUGAUGUCUUUCUCUUUAUAUCAGUUUAUUUUUCUUUUUCUUGAUCAACCUGCAGGGUGCAGAAGUUGCAUACUUCCAUGCCUGCCCCUGCAAUAGCACCAUGACAAAUCGUGCUAGCCACAUACUGUAUGGCCUAUGCAAACAUUUCAAUGUGACCAAUUGAUGGUUGUGCCCUAACAAUUUGAUCAAUCAGUGGUUGUACUAAUGUACUAUAUAAAUAUUUAGAUGAUCAGUUAUUUGACUUCAAAUUGAAGCUCAGUUGUGUUACUUUAGGUUGAUGCUCAGUUUAACUUUAUUGUGUUACCGAGGAUUUGGGUUGUUCAUUGCACAAUUUUAGCCAUCUACAUGAUGUUUCACUGAUUCUUUCCUA